rnacentral:rRNA from 1 species
UACGUAGGGUGCGAGCGUUAGUCGGAAUUACUGGGCGUAAAGCGUGCGCAGGCGGUUUGUUAAGAUAGGCGUGAAAUCCCCGGGCUCAACCUGGGAACUGCGUUUAUGACUGGCAGCUAGAGUGUGGCAGAGGGGGGUGGAAUUCCACGUGUAGCAGUGAAAUGCGUAGAGAUGUGGAGGAACACCGAUGGCGAAGGCAGCCCCCUGGGCCAAUACUGACGCUCAUGCACGAAAGCGUGGGGAGCAAACAGGAUUAGAAA